rnacentral:rRNA from 1 species
UACAGAGGUCUCAAGCGUUGUUCGGAUUCAUUGGGCGUAAAGGGUGCGUAGGCGGCGGGGUAAGUCUGAUGUGAAAUCCUGAGGCUCAACCCUGGAACUGCAUUGGAUACUUCCUUGCUAGAGUACUGGAGAGGAAACUGGAAUUUACGGUGUAGCAGUGAAAUGCGUAGAGAUCGUAAGGAAGACCAGUGGCGAAGGCGAGUUUCUGGACAGUUACUGACGCUGAGGCACGAAGGCCAGGGGAGCAAACGGG